rnacentral:rRNA from 1 species
UACGAAGGGUGCAAGCGUUACUCGGAAUUACUGGGCGUAAAGCGCGCGUAGGUGGUGAGUUAAGUCUGUCGUGAAAGCCCCGGGCUCAACCUGGGAAUGGCGAUGGAUACUGGCUCGCUAGAGUGCGGUAGAGGAGAGUGGAAUUCCCGGUGUGGCAGUGAAAUGCGUAGAGAUCGGGAGGAACAUCAGUUGCGAAGGCGGCUCUCUGGACCAGCACUGACACUGAGGCACGAAAGCGUGGGGAGCAAACAGG